GUCAAGUCAUCAUGGCCCUUAUGUCCAGGGCUACACACGUGCUACAAUGGGCGGCACAAAGCGAAGCGAGCCCGAGAGGGUACAGCGAACCGCCGAAAGCCGCCCGUAGUCCGGAUUGAAGUCUGAAACCCGACUUCAUGAAGCUGGAAUCGCUAGUAAUCGCGCAUCAGCAUGGCGCGUUGAUUACGUCCCUGCCCUUU
rnacentral:rRNA from 1 species